UCAACCAAGCAUAAUUUAUCGUACUUGACAUUAAUAUAGUGGGUGGCAAUUCUUGACAUCAUUAAAAUGAAUAGUAACAUUCAAAAUAUAAUUCAAUCAGCUAGAAUUUUACAGAGGAAAUUUAAUUAAUAUCUGACAUUGUAAAUUGGUCAAAUUUUCUUGGAGUUGAAGUUAAUGUGUCAAAGAAAUGAAGACGUCUUGAAAGAGUAAACCAAGCCCCAGGAAAAAGUUGGAAUUGGGAAAAAUAUCAUUUAAGUUUUCCAUACCUAAAUUGAAAGCAACUUUUGUCAGUACGGAUUAAAAUUCAAUAUUGAAAUGUCGAAUGCAGCUUUCGAGUAGUAGUAUGUCAUUUCCGCACAGAGGAAGAUUUUGGAGACCAAAGACGUCUCGUUUUUAUCUGUCGAAGAACCUAUUUCUUCCUCAGCAUCUUAAAACUCGGUUUAGACGUUGCUACGUCCACCAUUCACUGUUGACAAUCGUAUGGGAAUUUUGAGAGCAACAAUACUUGAGACUCAAACAUCUUUACAUAUGCAAAGUAGAUGACAUACUUGAAAAACUUGUUAUAAUUCUAAAAAAUUGAAAUAUUUUCUUGAAAUUGUUGUUUCUUUAAUUUCUGUGAAUAUAUUGAAUAUAAUGAUUUUUAUAAUUGAAAUAA